GAUCCUGGCUCAGGACGAACGCUGGCGGCGUGCUUAACACAUGCAAGUCGAACGGAAAGGCCCUGCUUUGUGGGUGCUCGAGUGGCGAACGGGUGUAGUAACACGUGAGUAACCUGCCCUUGACUUUGGGAUAACUUCAGGAAACUGGGGCUAAUACCGGAUAGGGGCUCCUGCUGCAUGGUGGGGGUUGGAAAGUUUCGGCGGUUGGGGAUGGACUCGCGGCUUAUCAGCUUGUUGGUGGGGUAGUGGCUUACCAAGG
rnacentral:rRNA from 1 species